CCAUGGAGCUGUCACACCCGAUUUUAAGGACAAAAUCGAAUGCACAAUAUAUGAAUGCCAGGAUCAAAACUCAUUCAUAUAUCGACUUUAUUAUAGUAUCAAAAUCAAAGUUUGUUACAUAAUCGAUAAACAUUAUUUCAAAAUGACCCAUGGGUAUAAAAGAAAAAUCUAAAUAAUCUAUUUAUUCUCCAGCGGAAAUGGGGCGCCAUCUUCACAGGAACGUCGACCGGGGGUUGCACCAGCCUAGUACACAUCAUCGGGGUCGAAGGCGUCAUCGUCAGCGGCGUACUCCUGAGUGUCGUCUCCAGCGUCUGGGUGGGGUAGCAGGGGGGGACAAAGAGGAAGGGUGAGUACAUCGAAAUGUACUCCGCAAGUGUAGGAAAAUAUAUGACAUGAGGCUUAUAACAAGGGUAGGCUACUUUGGUUGACACCAGCACCUAUAGCGACACACCUAUUACCUUAAAUCCUUAAGCGCCUAUUUAUCUAAGUGAAACCACAAUCUCCUCAAAUAACUGUGCCAACACUCGGAUUCCAUCUGAGCAAACCACACUUGGACUCCAUCCAAGCAAACCACCAAACCGGAGCCAACUAAUCUCGAAGAAGUCCAAGCCGCUCCUGACCGUGAGCGCGGCUGAUAUACCAGUUUUACACUCUGCAGAGGUUGCACACUUUCACAACGAGUCAUGUUUUCCCCAUCACGCCUCACACUACCUAGGUGCUCGGCAGGGUCACACUACAAGGCCUUUACAAAGCUGUUGUUCCCACCCCUGUGCAUUCACUAAGGAUUCGCCGAUUUAGGCCCCCUCGUGUGCCACCUAACUCUCCACAAUGCACAGAAAAUGGGCAGCUAAUUAGUUAGCCAGGUCAUACCAUAUAGACCUCGUGGAUGCGCUGUUAAGCCGGUUACAUGCUCCGAGAACCGGUCCUUAGAAUCCAACAGGGACGAACACAAACCCGAUCCACCAACAUCUGCCGCCAUUACAUGGCAAAAACCAAACCUCACCCAAUCUUUCCAUCCUGUCAGAUUCCUAGUCUCCAUGUUGCUAAAAACAUUACCAACCCACAUGUUGCGUAGACCAUUUAUCAAUAUUAAAUUAUAGCCAUUUUCCAAUUCCCAAGACUGCAUGCUAAGCACGAUGGCUACCCUUUCAAAACCCAGGUUACAAGGAUGAUAUAAACAAGUUCUAGUAAACCCGAACAUGGGAUUCAAAAUUAAGACUUUGCAUGCAACUAAUGGUCUAACUAAACUAACUCAAAAGUAAAAUAAAUGUAGGCGCAAGAUGGUCAAGGACACUUGCCUUGGAACUGGGUUUGGUCUGGAAAGUCAAACUCCUGAUCCUGGAGGUUCUCGAAAUCAGCACCGUCUGUAUUCAAUACACCAAACAUGGCCCAAACAAAAACAUAAUAAGAACAAUACACCAGACGGUCGAAAAGCACAAAAUAAAGCGUACUGAUGCGUAGAGCUCAUCGAUACGAAUCUAAUGCGAUUUGAACGUGUCAAAUUGGAGCUAGAGUGUGAAAAUGGAUUUUUCAAAGUUUGGAAGAUUAAAAUACUUAUUUGAAAAUGACUACAAAAUAUUUAACAGAUUUAUUUUAAUUCUAAAAAAAAUGUUAUUUAUGAUUUUUAAGAAAAGAAAAAUAAGGCCGAUAAUAUAUUUGUACAAGUAAGGAAGUGGCAAACUAAUACGUUUGGAUGAUUUAUUACUGUGAAGUAUAUAUGUGCUAUUAACUAUAGAUGGGAGGGAGUAGGUGGCUAUUUAUGCAAGACUCAGCGAAUAGUGUCUUGAUCCGAAUAAAACCUAGGGACCAGAAUGCAAAGUACGCGGCACUAUGCUACGCACUGGGUCCAUGAACUAUGGACCGAGAAAGGAAUGUGACAGAAGUCCACCAUGGACCAUGUCCAUGAUGAGGUGUAUUUGGAGUGUAUUUGUGGAUUUGUUUUUCUACAUGAAAACGGUCAAAAAUCGAAUGUGAUGACAUGCUGAUGUGAACGUGAUGUCAGCAAGCUAAGAAACUAAAGCCAACAAGAAAAUAGAGCAUCACGACCGGCUGCUAGCUCUGUGCGGUGCGGUUGCCGGCAAGCGGGUGCUGUGCAUCUGCGUGCGUGAGUGAUGGGAGUACGCAGGGACGAGGCUGUGUGCAGGUGCUUGUAGCUGGCAUUGCCGCGUCCAGAACCGAAGUCAUCGGAGCAGUCUGGUGCAAGCCGUGUGCACGGUGCUGCCAUAGACGGCAACGCACGGUCGCGCUCCGACUGAGGCCGAUUCCGGCUCCGUACGUGCUGCUCUAUGGAGAGUUAAGAUAGAGUCAAAGAGGAUACUCACCGUGCAACCGGAAGGGUCGGAGGAGCGGCAAUGAUCACCAAGACGCGGUGCAUGGCGUGCGGCGACGCUACGGCGUGGUAAGGCGGCGGCGACUGUAGCAGCACUAUUGGAGCUGGAGCGGGUCAGAGCUGUCGUGGUGGCGAGAUGUGUUGUCCGUGUGAAGGCGGUGCUCUCCUAAUACAUAGGGAGAAGGAGAGACGGACGAGGGGCGUGGAGGCUGG
rnacentral:lncRNA from 1 species